rnacentral:lncRNA from 1 species
UCAAGAUCCAUGCUUUGUUACUCAAUCUUUUCCUCCAGUUUUGGAUGGCAGAUAUAGUCACAAUAAUUAUUUCUGGCUUCGGCGUCCCCUAUCGUGCCAGUAAAUCGAUCUUGCGAUGGGAGGACUUAACAAGCUUCGAUAUAGUCUUUUUUUAUGAAGAUUUUGACCAGAUCCUAGAAACAAUUGAGGUAAACACCGGUCAGUUCAUCUUUAAAGUCUUUAUUAAGAUUAAUUAUGUGUUAGAACAGGAACCA